rnacentral:rRNA from 1 species
AUUGAACGCUGGCGGCAUGGCUAAAACAUGCAAGUCCGGGAUAACCCUUCGGGGUGAAACCGGCGAAAGGGCGAGGAAUACAUUCGAACGUGCCCUAAGGUGGAGGAUAGCCGUGGGAAACUGCGGGUAAUACUCCAUGUGCUCUACGGAGGAAAGCUUCGGCGCCUCGGGAGCGGCGAAUGUCCUAUCAGGUAGUUGGCGGGGUAACGGCCCACCAAGCCGAAGACGGGUAGCGGGUGUGAGAGCACGGCCCGCCGCAUCGGGACUGAGACACUGCCCGGACUCCUACGGGAGGCUGCAGUAACGAAUAUUCCGCAAUGGGCGAAAGCCUGACGGAGCAAUGCCGCGUGCAGGAUGAAGCGGUUCGCCGUGUAAACUGCUGUCAGGGAACAGAAACACU